rnacentral:lncRNA from 1 species
AACACAAGGAGGAGAGCAAAAAGACUGCUUCACCUGAGUUCAAGUAAUGUAUCGCCUCACAGAAGAACUGCAACUACUUCAAGAAAGCAGAAUGGAGGAAAAAGGGCAACAUGUUUUGGCCAUUACCACAGACUGAAUACCUAAGCUAAAUGCAGCUAGGCCAGGCCCAAGGGAUGCUGCAGAACUACACCAGUCCAAGAUAUGACACCAACACAGAACACAGAUGGUGAUGAUUAAAAUAAAAUCAAUAAGGUAUAACCACAGCAUUCAGAGUACAUCAAAGCGGAGUGCUGAUACACAGAGUGAUAUUCAUCUCCAGCAUUUCUGAAAGAAUACAAUGACAUAGCUGCUUUGUCACCUUAGCAGAGCCAUGGAAAUGUAGAUGGAAGCAUCUUGGGCUAAUAAAGGAAACACAGGUGAAUGGGGAACAGAAAUGACUCUUGGUGACAAAGACCCUAGUGCUGAGAAAUUUGAGUGUGGGGAAGGACGGAUAAUACUACACAGAAGAGAAUUUCAACUGAGAAUAUAUAGGCCAGUGAAAUAUUAAGGUACUUUUCAAUAAAUAAAUAAAUUACAUGUAUGUAUAAUAAAUA